rnacentral:rRNA from 2 species
GACGAACGCUGGCGGCGUGCUUAACACAUGCAAGUCGAACGAUGAAAGAGAAUCCGAUCUCUUCGGAGUGAAGAAUCUCUGGAUUAGUGGCGGACGGGUGAGUAACGCGUGAGCAAUCUGCCUUACACAAAGGGAUAGCCUCGGGAAACCGGGAUUAAUACCAUAUGACAUCUAUUAACCGCAUGGUUUAUAGAUUAAAGAAUUUCGGUGUAAGAUGAGCUCGCGUCCCAUUAAUUAGUUGGUGAGGGUAACGGCCCACCAAGAUAGCGAUGGGUAGCCGAUCUAAGAGGAUGACCGGCCACAUUGGAACUGAGAAACGGUCCAAACUCCUACGGGAGGCAGCAGUGGGGAAUAUUGCACAAUGGGGGAAACCCUGAUGCAGCGACGCCGCGUGAGCGAUGAAGGCUUUCGAGUCGUAAAGCUCUGUCCUAUGGGAAGAUAAUGACGGUACCAUAGAAGAAAGCCCCGGCUAAUUACGUGCCAGCAGCCGCGGUAAUACGUAAGGGGCGAGCGUUGUCCGGAAUUAUUGGGCGUAAAGAGUGCGUAGGCGGCAAAUUAAGUCAGAUGUGAAAACUAAGGGCUCAACCCAUAGAUUGCAUCUGAAACUGAUAUGCUUGAGUCAAGGAGAGGAAAGUGGAAUUCCUAGUGUAGCGGUGGAAUGCGUAGAUAUUAGGAGGAAUACCGGUGGCGAGGGCGACUUUCUGGACUUGAACUGACGCUGAGGCACGAAAGCGUGGGGAGCAAACAGG